UACGUAGGUGGCAAGCGUUAUCCGGAUUUACUGGGUGUAAAGGGCGUGUAGGCGGUUUCGCAAGUCAGAAGUGAAAUUCCCGGGCUUAACUCGGGCGCUGCUUCUGAAACUGCGGAACUUGAGUGCUGGAGGGGAUAGCGGAAUUCCUAGUGUAGCGGUAAAAUGCGCAGAUAUUAGGAGGAACACCGGUGGCGAAGGCGGCUAUCUGGACAGUAACUGACGCUGAGACGCGAAAGCGUGGGGAGCGAAC
rnacentral:rRNA from 1 species